rnacentral:rRNA from 1 species
GAACCGUCCAAACGUUAUUCGGAAUCACUGGGCUUAAAGGGUACGUAGGCGGCUUGGAAAGUUGGGGUGUGAAAUCCCUCGGCUCAACCGAGGAACUGCACUCAAAACUGCCCAGGCUUGAGGGAGAUAGAGGUGAGCGGAACUCAGGGUGGAGCGGUGGAAUGCGUUGAUAUCCUGGGGAACACCAGUUGCGAAGGCGGCUCACUGGGUCUCUUCUGACGCUGAGGUACGAAAGCUAGGGGAGCGAACGGGAUUAGAUACCCCGGUAGUCCUAGCUGUAAACGUUGAGCACUGGAUCGGAGGAUUUCGGUUUUCCGGUCGUAACGAAAGUGUUAAGUGCUCCGCCUGGGGAGUAUGGUCGCAAAGGCUG